GAAGGAAAGGGAGAAUCAAGUCCACCAAACAAAGUUCGAGGAGAUGGAGCCACAAAAAUAGGAGACAUGAACAUUUUUUCUACUUUUUUUGGGUCGUUUUUACCUUCGUUUUGUUCUGUCUUGACCCUCUGUCUUUCACUAUUUUCUCCAAUUGCUGAAGAAUUUGAUGUUGAUGAUGUUCCCGAAACAGAGGAGAAGAGAGAAG
rnacentral:ribozyme from 13 species